AAUUUGUGCGAGAGGCACUUUUGAUGUUUUAUUUUUUUUCUAAUUAUACUUAAGAAAUCGAACAUUGGAGUACAAGAAGAACGAAUGUAUAAUUUUAAAAACAAAGGCGAAAACUAAGGGUUAUUACAUUUUAAAAUCAUAGAGUGAAAUCGAAAGAAACCAUAGCUGCCUUUAAAAUAAUGGAUUCAUCAAUGAUCGAAUGGUAAGAUGAGUCAAAGCUGGUAAUUGGACCAGCAUUCAGAUUUUGAAGAAUUCACAAGGUUCUUCACUAAGGUAUUCGUCCUCUGUUAGGAGCCCUUGGAUACUAUGGACUCUAUCGGAACGAACAGGAUGAUCAGCUUGCAAAGAAAAAUACUCAAUUGAUUCAAACCAACAUUACUGAAACAGUUUUCUUUACAAUUAAGUUGCUUUCAAGCAAUUUCUGUCUUUAAAAAAUAAUAAUAUUUCAGCAUCAAAUGAAAAAUUUAAUUUUGAUUGAAGCAUACGUCCUCAAUUCGUCUCGUCUAAACAUGUAAAGACUCUCUGUAACCAUGACUGCCUUGUCUUGUUUCUCUUUCGCUUCAAAAGUUCCACAAUCAUUUUGACAAUUAAUGGACUUUUAUAAAAUAAAUAGACCUUAAGUACACGUCAAUUUCGCUCAUUAUUGAUAGUUAGGUUGUCUCUUUAAUAAUGAAGUUUAUUAAUUCAACAGCA
rnacentral:lncRNA from 1 species